GACUCAGCGAGCAGAGCCGGGCAGUUUCUGCCGGCCCUGCUCUCUCCCUCCUCUUUUUUCGACAGGUGACGGCAGUUGACUGGUGGGCGGGGCGCGCACACCUGCAGCGUGUUCUGCAGCACUAUAAGAUCUGCGCUCGGACAGCGGGAGGACGCCGGAAUAUUAACCGUUGUUGGUUCGCUCUCGUGUCCCGAGGCUUGAGCCUAACUGAACUCACCUGCUCACGACUCCCAUCGGAUCAGUCCGGUUCCUUCCGCUGCCUGUGUUUUCGCCAGAGCUGCUCGGACCUUGCCUCACGCCUACGCCCCCCGGUCAUCUGUCCGCACCACUCCAUCUGGAGCUGAGUCCGUUGCGCUUCCCCCUCCGGUCCGACUUCCGAACCUAAGUGAUCGUUCGUGCUCCGUCCGAGUCUCUCUCCCCGUGAUCGCUCCAUUGUGAGCCCUUUUUCGUGAUUACUUCCCCGAACAUUUUCCCUGUUGUUAUUGUCAAUAAACUCCGUAAAACUACUUCCUGUGAGCCGGUGUUCUCUGCAUGUGGGCCAAACAUAUCAAACCGACCAUGACAAGG